GUGGGGAAUAUUGGACAAUGGGCGCAAGCCUGAUCCAGCCAUACCGCGUGGGUGAAGAAGGCCUUCGGGUUGUAAAGCCCUUUUGUUGGGAAAGAAAUCCUGUCGGUUAAUACCUGGCGGGCAUGUCGGUACCCAAAGAAUAAGCACCGGCUAACUUCGUGCCAGCAGCCGCGGUAAUACGAAGGGUGCAAGCGUUACUCGGAAUUACUGGGCGUAAAGCGUGCGUAGGUGGUGGUUUAAGUCCGUUGUGAAAGCCCUGGGCUCAACCUGGGAAUUGCAGUUGAUACUGGAUCACUAGAGUGUGGUAGAGGGAUGCGGAAUUUCUGGUGUAGCAGUGAAAUGCGUAGAGAUCAGAAGGAACAUCCGUGGGGAAGGCGGCAUCCUGGGCCAACACUGACACUGAGGCACGAAAGCGUGGGGAGCAAACAGGAUUAGAAACCCGUGUAGUCC
rnacentral:rRNA from 1 species